CACGUGAUGAUAUUAAAGAUAUAGUUGAAACGUCUUUGAAGGCAACAAGCAUAAUAGGUGGAAAGAAAGCAAGUCGUCAAGUAAAAUGGAUUACAUGUUCGUGUGCCAUACAAAGAGGAGGUACCGAAUGCGGAUAUUAUGUGAUGAAAUUUAUUUUGGAAAUCAUUUCAUUGGGAACAUGCUAGGGAAUGAAUAAGGCAAGUACUUUAAUAAAAUAUCUUUCGAUCUCCUUCAUAUUUUUUAAAAUACUAAGUUAUUAAUUC